GUCCCUCUCUAGUGAACUGUGGUAGCUUCAGCCUUGGUAUCCUGGGGCUGAGAGAGAGAGCUUACAAGACAUUUUAUGGCUCCCAGAACUUUAGAUAGACUUGACUCGGCAAAUCUUUAAUGGGAUGGGAUGAAUAGAUUUGGGGUGUACAGGCAAAAGGGGGGGAAGUCUGAGGUCUGUUCAACCUGGGCUUUCACCCUGUGCCUACCCCAUAGCGACUCCAUCCUGCUGACACUGUGCCCUCUGAUAACUGGAGAAUGAGCCAGUAGGUUGGUUGGUUUGGAGGGUGCGUGGGUGUUACAGAGGUGGCUGCUGAAGCUUGCUGAGUUGUGAGCCAAGUGUCCAUAGCGAGGAAGGACCAGAAGUUGACGGCUUGAAGCAACAGGAUCACAAGGCUUCAAAGUCAUUGCCUCUAACCAGACAUCAGAUGAAGGAAGGACGACACAGAUAUCACGUCUUGGAGAGUGACAAUGGGUUACCUACCAGAACCCUGCCGGAGGCACCUUUGGGGGUGAUAAGCAAGUUUUGGGGAGACAACAAUGUGUCUAUGACGUGGAUGACUCCGUUGGUGCUGAUAAUGUCACUGGACAGAACCUUCGCCUUCUUGUUUAUGAGCACAGUGUCCUGAAGACAAAUGAGACCAGCGAAAGACGUGAGCACAGAGAAACUCCAGAGUCCUUCCCUGCAGAACUAACGCUUCCCGGAUGUGCAGGGAAGCUGGGUACUCCAAGGGCAGAGCCUGAAGGCCCAUGUGACAAGUACAUUGCUUAUUAUGAUCCUAAAGGGGCAUGGAGAUGAGAAUGCAGUCUUCACCCGUGAGGGAAACAUGACAUGGAGACAUGGUGAAAGACAGGAGGUGGGGAUGGGCUGAACAAGAGAGCUUCCCUGCGAGGUGUACCUUGUCCUGCUUCCUCAGGUAUGCCUAGCCUAUGUCCUCUGCUUCCUGUCUACCAGAUGCCAUAUAAAAGGACUGGCUGCCCCACACCGGUUCUCUCUCUCUGUUCCCAUAUGUGCCUGACCCAUUUCCCUGACCGUUUUCUGUCCUUCUCUGUCCCCACUUUCUCUGCCCUCCUGGCUCUGCUCACAUCUGUCUACCUCUACCCCCUCUCCACGUCCUCACUCCUUCCCUUCCCCCAAAUAAAGCCCCUUUAACCAGG
ensembl:antisense Gm16268 predicted gene 16268